rnacentral:lncRNA from 10 species
AGAUCAUUAACGUACAUAUUUUAACAUUUUGUAUGAAACUUUCAACUUUUCUGACCAUUUUUAAUUGUAUUUUUUUAAUUCUUUUCAUUUUAAGUCCUUUGAGAUAGAUAGCAUUUGUUUCAUCAUUUUCUUUUAAACCAUGAGGAAAUUAACUGACUCAUCGGAGAUUGUUUAUCCAGUUAGUGUUCAUCCAGUUAGUGGCAGAGCCAACACAAAUGAUCAGGUCUUGUAGCUCCUGUCUGUACCAUCUUUCCCGAAGACUCAGGUUAUACAAGAUCAGGCCUUGUCCUACGUGCUUCAGUGUUCUUCCUUUGAUGCUGACACCAACAAAAAGUGUUGUGUAAGACCAGCACUCUGCUUCCUGCCAUGAGUUGUGAUUAUGAUUUCAUCACAAAAUAUUUGACCUCAUAGGUAAUCGCAGUUUCUGAGGGUCAAUCUCACACUUGCUCCUGCAAUUUUGCUGUGUACCACUGCCCCCAAAGCUGCCCCGCCAUGUGCAACAGACCCUCCCAGGGCUCUGUUGGGUACCAGUAAGGCACCUCUUCCAGAGCCCACUAACGCAGUGGGGGCCCCGGGGUUUUACCAACUGGUCCACUUUUUGCUGAUGAUGAAAACCAAGUUUCAGGUUGUUGAAGAGAUUUGCCUUAGAUUUCCUCUUGAGAAGACAGUAGACGGGAAAUAAAUCCAGCCGGAAACCCAUUCAACUAACCAACACUGCCUCUUUGCAUGUUUGUGCAUGUAGGUAAAUACAAAAAUAACCGUAUGCCUUUCAGAGCUCUUUGACUUUGGAGUUUAACAAAGGGAUAAUCGAAACAAACCAUUAAUUUUCCAGAGUGGUGAAGGACAGUUAAAGAACAGGCUCAAGAGACCUGAUGCUUCCUUUCUCACAUGUGGAACCUUUGUUGCACUCGCUGAACAGGUUUCUCAAUGUGCAGCCCACAGACCAUUAAAACCAUAUUAUGUGCAUGUGUUUGUGUGACUAUGAAAGGCACAUGUGGUAUGCAUAUGUGUUUGUGUGUAUAUGAAAAACACACAUAAUUGCUCAUGAAGACAAAUGAUUUACUCAUACAUUUGUGUGGCAUAUGGAGCACACAUAUAAUGUGCAGGUAUGUUUAUAUGCAUAUUGAUAUAAUUUUGAUUCCAUGUGCUGAUGAGAGGAAUGUGUAUUCUGUAGCUGUUAGGUGGGCCAGUCCUCAGGCUCUAGUGGUGGCAGCAGUGGGCCAAGAGCAUGCCUGUUCUUGGGCCCCAGAGCAGUUUAUGGGCAGAUGUCAGUCUAGAUGUUGCUGAGAAAGUAUUUUUUAGAUGAGAUAAACAUUUGGAUCAGUAGAUUUUGAGUAAAGCAGAUUACCCUACAUUAUGUGGGUGAGCCUCAUCCAAUCAGCUGGAGUUCCUAUUAAAGCAAAGACUGAGGUUUCCCAAAGAAGGUAUUUGAACUAAAAGACUGCAGCGUAGAAACUCUUCCUGGGUUUCCAGCCUGCCUGGCCCGCCCCUCAGAAUUCAGACUUAAGACUGCAGCAUUAAUUCUUCCCUUCAUUUCCAGCCUGUUGGCUUGCCCUGUGAAUAUUGGACUUAACAGCCCCCACAAAUGUGUGAGCCAACAUCUGAAAGUAAAUCUGUGCUUACACAUAAAUCUCCUAUUGCUUCUGUUUCUCUGGAGAGCCUUGACUAAUACAGUAGCAAAGAAGACACAAGGGGACUCUCUUUAAAAGGUCUUUCUUUAACAAUGAGGAAAAGCACAUAGCAUUCUCAUCAUUGCUCUGUUCCAAUGUGCUUACAAGACACACUCCACCUUCCAGCAACCACAUCUCCCAGCUGCAGGUGUUCCCUGUGUGGCAGGAUACUUCAUGCAUAAUCAUCUGGGUAUUUAUAAAAGCUUUUAGUUCCUGAAAGGUGAGCCUGGAGACAAGGCAUCUUUGGAUGUACAAGGGACAGGAGAGGGUCUCCCUGCCUGCCCAGAGGCUGGACUCUGGCAUCAAGAGUCUGGACCUGAGCAAGGAGCUCAGACCACAUAGGCCUGGGAAAGCAGAGGCCCUACAGUGAGUGGGAACCGGCAGAGAGGCUGCAGGCCUGUUGGGGGUCACCAGAAAGGAUGGGAUGGAAGGCAAGAGCCUGCUGAUUGAGUGGGAUUGGAAUCAACUUAAGGAGCAUAUGUAAAUAUAGCUAUAGAUACCCACACACAUUUAUACGUGCAUAUGACAUACUGGCAAGGAUGAUGGGGAACAGAGAAACAAGGUUAUGGAAGUAUGACUGGGCUGCUUUUAACUUAAUUUUCUUUUGAUUUGUCUAUAUUUAAAAAUUUAAAAAUUUUCCUAAAACACAUAUUAUUUUGCGAUAUAAUUCAUCUUUUUAAACUUCAGAAUGUUUCCUGAGCACACAUUACUUUUUCAGAAGCAGAACUUUGCAAGGAAUUCAGCCACUUUAACAGAUCCUAGGUAAAAUACUGCUUCGCAAAUACAUGUUUUAAAAUUUUGCUUCUCUGGCCAAGCGUUUUCUGUUUGGAUUGGAAGUCCUUGAAAAGUGCAGAAAUUGCAGUUUCUACCUGAUCUUUCCUAAAUAAAAAUUUAGUAAGUAGAAAUCCUUUUUAAGGCCCUUCCUUCUCCCCCAACGCACAUCCCCCAAAUACGCACAAACUAUCUCCCCGCCACACACACCCCAUCACCACUAUCACCACCACCAUCACACACAGACACACACACACACACACACACACACACACACACGCCACACA